AUGGUAUUUAGCUUUUCUCCAUAUUGUUUUUAUCUCAUCCACAGCUUGCAGAAUAGUCCUCUUGUGUGGUUUUUAGCGUCUUCUUAACAUUGCACAAAGCGGUAUUUUUUGGGUUAUAUUUAUCAAUGAUUGUUUGGGACUGAGGCGUUGUUUGUUGUUGUGGUUGUUGUAUUUACCGGUUGAUCUGUGACUUCUAAGAAAGAUUGGUUCUCAUAUUGGUGCUCGCCACUGAUUUGAUUUAAAUGCAUGUAAGGAGUUAAAGCAUAUAUGCAUAUUCAAUUUUCACCAAUGUUGCAAUUUGUUUGCCAGAGGUUUGUCCAGCAUUUUGGUUGCUUUCAAAAGCUUGCCUGCCCCCCAUCAGCUAAGGAGCAGCAAUUCUCUAAUCAAGAUUCAAUUUGAAUUCAGCCACCAUCCUUUCUUAGCCAGUGCCAUUGUGAAAAGAUUUUGAAGAGUGUAACGUCUGCAUACAUCCAGACUCUACCUAUGGAAUCAUACUGAGUAUGUUGAUUUUACGAGAAAGAGUGUCUGGAAAAGUGUAAUUUCAUAGCUUAUUAGAAUACUAGAAUUAACAAAAAGACUAAGACAUUUCAAGAGGCAAUUCAUUUAUAUUUUACUUUUAGUUCAAGUCUUAUCCUGGUGAUUUGUGACAUAAACUAUCCAAAAUGCAACUCAAAUCGCCGGAUAAUCCAAAAGUUUUGAAGCAUUUACAAGAAUACAUAAAACCCUUAAAAGUAAUUAGUAGAACUUGAUGAAAUGAGUUAUGUGAAGUCAAGUUAUUUGGUAACUAAAUCUUGAUUAACUCUUACUUUGGUUAUCUUUGAAUGGCUAUUAGCAAUGCAAUACGAUAUUAAAAUGACCUUUUUCAUCUCCUAUUCUUUCUUUUCACCAUGGGUUUGCAUGUUCGAUAGAAUUCAGGGCUUCUGACUGAAUUUUAUAGGGGUGUACAUAGGUCGGGUUGGUUCGGAUUUUGCAAUUACCAAACCAAACCAAUUGUAUCGGGUUAUUAAAUCUAUAAACCAAACCAAACCAACCAAUAUCGGAUUUUUCAAUAUCGGGUUUUCUCGGGUUUCUCGGGUUUUUCGGAUUUUUUUUCUCGAUAAACUUGUGCUCCAAAUAUUUCUAUAGUCCUAAAUACAAUUUUACCGAUAACAACCAUGUCUUUAUUUUUUAGCGUUGACCUCAACUAUGCUAGUCAAUAGGUUAUAUGGUUCCACUUUAUAAAGGUCUCUACUUUAUAAAUUAUUUUUCACUUUACACCAAAAUGCUAAUAAAAGCUUAAAGCAAUUGACCUGUCCAACUUCAAUUGAACCUUAGAUAAACAAUUAGAAAGACCAGGUUGGAGUAUCAUGGACAAAUCAAUUGCUUUUAAGUAUUGUAAAAAGUCUAAUUUCUUUAAUUGUCAAAUCAACUGAACCUUAGAAAAAUAAUGUAAUACAAAAACUUCUUAAUCGACUAAAAAUCAUGCACCAACUUUCUUUUAAUUAAUUACCUUAAAGUAGUAAAGAUUUCAAAAAUAGUCAUGAAAUAAAUUGUAGUUAACUGUCCCUCUAAUCAAUUCUGAAAGGCGAGUCUGCAUAUUCUGAAAGAAAAGAAACAAUUAACAUAUUUAAUAUUAAGUAAUAUAAAAAAUAACUAUACUCAUUAAUAAUUGGAUAUAAAUUAUUACCUUCUUCAACUUGCUCAAUUUUCUGGACUUCCUCUAACAUAUCUUCAAACUUAUAUUCCUUGAAAAUACAUCAAUGUAAGAAAUACAUCACUCUUAAUUUUACAUAGUCCAUAUUAUUUAACCAAAUGAUUAAAAAUAUACGUAAAAAAGUUUCAAUAUAUUUUUAAGUAACAGUCAAUUACUCAUGUUAAUCAUCUAAGAGAAACAAAAUAAACAAAUGAAUUCGACAAUAGGGAGGAAUACAACAGAUUUGCAAAAAUAUUGCUAAUCUAAAUAAGAAAAAUCUUAGUUAAUUGGAAAAAACAAGGCGUAUGUAUGCAGCUAAAAGAAAACAUGUAAAAUAAGAAAGGGAAGAGCCUUACCGAUGAGAGCAAAAGAGAGUUGAUAGGGUUUGAGCUAAUUUUGGGGGGGGGGGGGGGUAAGGGGGGGAGGGGUUUGGAAUGGAACGAUAGGGUUUCUUGCUUUUGGAGAAAAGGCAAAAUGAUUUCAAUUGUUUAAGUGUUUUAGAACAGCUUUAAGACUAGUCUAGUUCUGCUUUAGGAUUAGGUUUUGGUUUGGGCUCAAUUAUUCUUUUAUGAGCCAGAAAAAAAUAAAUAUUUACAUGGGCUAUACAACCAACUUAAAAUAUUAUGCU
rnacentral:lncRNA from 1 species